rnacentral:rRNA from 1 species
UACGGAGGGUGCAAGCGUUUUUCGGAUUUACUGGGCGUAAAGGGCGCGUAGGCGGCUUGGUAAGUCGGGUGUGAAAUCCUUCCGCUUAACGGAAGAAGUGCACCCGAAACUGCCUUGCUCGAGUUUAGGAGAGGAGAGCGGAAUUCCCGGUGUAGAGGUGAAAUUCGUAGAUAUCGGGAGGAACACCCGUGGCGAAAGCGGCUCUCUGGCCUAAUACUGACGCUGAGGCGCGAAAGCGUGGGGAGCAAACAGG